rnacentral:rRNA from 1 species
CGAACCGUGCGAACGUUGUUCGGAAUCACUGGGCUUAAAGGGCGCGUAGGCGGGCGACCAAGUCGGGGGUGAAAUCUUUCGGCUCAACCGGAAAAUAGCUUUCGAUACUGGCCGUCUUGAGGGAGGUAGGGGCAUGCGGAACUUCCGGUGGAGCGGUGAAAUGCGUUGAUAUCGGAAGGAACUCCGGUGGCGAAAGCGGCGUGCUGGAUCUCUUCUGACGCUGAGGCGCGAAAGCUAGGGGAGCAAACGGGAUUAGAUACCCCGUUAGUCCUAGCCCUAAACGAUGGGUACUAGGUUGUGGACUAGACAUGGGUUCACAGCCGAAGCCAAAGUGCUAAGUACCCCGCCUGGGGAGUAUGGUCGCAAGGCUG